rnacentral:rRNA from 1 species
GAUGAACGCUGGCGGCGUGCCUAAUACAUGCAAGUCGAGCGAACAGAUGAGGAGCUUGCUCCUCUGACGUUAGCGGCGGACGGGUGAGUAACACGUGGAUAACCUACCUAUAAGACUGGGAUAACUUCGGGAAACCGGAGCUAAUACCGGAUAAUAUAUUGAACCGCAUGGUUCAAUAGUGAAAGACGGUUUUGCUGUCACUUAUAGAUGGAUCCGCGCCGCAUUAGCUAGUUGGUAAGGUAACGGCUUACCAAGGCAACGAUGCGUAGCCGACCUGAGAGGGUGAUCGGCCACACUGGAACUGAGCCACGGUCCAGACUACUACGGGAGGCAGCAGUAGGGAAUCUUACGCAAUGGGCGAAAGCCUGACGGAGCAACGCCGCGUGAGUGAUGAAGGUCUUCGGAUCGUAAAACUCUGUUAUUAGGGAAGAACAAAUGUGUAAGUAACUAUGCACGUCUUGACGGUACCUAAUCAGAAAGCCACGGCUAACUACGUG